UGUGAUUUCUUUGCUUUCUUUCUGCUAGAUAACUUCUCUUGGAACAAAAUUUCCCCGUUCUUUAAACACCUUACUCUCUCUGAUUUAACAAGAAAAACUCUGUAGUUAUAAAUCAACAAUCAUCUAUAAUGGCAAAUCUCAGGAAAACUCUAUCCGAAACUGACGUCGAGGUAAGAUUUUCAGUACCAAGUAAAUGGUUCAAGGAAAAUUUGUUUUCUCGAUUUGAAGGUAAAAAUAAAUUAGAUUUACCAGUUAAGGAUCUAAGUGGAGAAGUGCAGUCCUUUGGUUUUUCAGUUCGAACCAAAGGGAACCACUUCAAACCUGUCAUCUCUAGGGGAUGGCGUAAAUUUGUUCAUGCCAAGGGCUUGAAGCCUGGCAAUAAGAUAAUUUUUGUUAUGGAGAAUGACCCAGAAACUGGGACAGAGUACAAAGUAGAAGUGAUUAAAGAGAUCAGGCUGUUUGGAAGAGAUAUAGAAGGAAGGGUGUAAGAAUUGAGAAGACGACGUCUAGCUAGCUAGCUAGGGAGUCAUGCAAUUUAAUAGGCUUGCUGGGUUUUUUUCUUCUUUUUUUUUGAGUGGAAUAUUAUAUAUUUUAUUUUAUGUAAUUUAGCAUAGAGGAGAAUGAAAAUGUAUCAUGACCUAAGGUAGCAAAGAGAGAGAGGUGUGUUCAUCCCUAGUUGGUGUUGUUUGUUUUUAUCUUUUCUCUUUAUGUACAAGAAAAAGAAAGUUGAAGGUUUUUCAUUAUUAUCUGCCUUUACUGUGUAUAUUAUAGUACUGGCGCGAGACAUGACAUCCGUGCCGCUAGCAAAUAAUUAUUUAAUGACAUUCAUUCUAUAUGUUU